CGUCGUCAACAGAAUUCAUUUGAUCAUCGAGUUCGUUUUCACCUUUAGCAUCGUCACGUAAUCAUGGUUCCGCAUCACUCGCAUUCUCGCACAGCACGCUCGAGAUUCCGUUGAAAAGAAAGAGACGCCAUCAUCGAAUUCGUUUCUUUUUAUCGUGGCCGAUAACGUACUCGCAUCUUGCACGCGACACGAACGACCGGUUACAUAAUGCAUACACAGGUGCGUACGAGAGAAAAUCACGAUUUUAUAUAAACGUUGUUUGCGUGCUGGUAAAACGCACCGAUCUCGUUGCAGUACACCGUCUCGCAAACUCUGUGCUCCCGUUUCCCAUGGUGGUCGCGAUCGAGCACCGAUUCCGUGUCGUUCACCGUGUCCUCCAGUAUCCUGAAGAUUUUGGUGACCGGCAACUGUAUUGGGAACGAGGUCGCGACUGUUAGGUGACAUCUACGGAGAAAAAGCCGGCAGAUUCAUAAAUAAUUCUUGGCGCGCGUGUGCCGCGGAUUCGAGUGUCAGAGUUCAGGAAAAUAGCGAAUCAUUGUCUAGCCUCGGCAGGCCUCGUUUUUUAAGUACGUUCGCGCUGUUUUAACGCGCAACGUGUCCGUGAUGUUACGGCUGAAACUUUCGGGGAAAAUGACACGAGUUCGUAUCGCUCGCGCUCGAACUUCUUGAAAUGUUGCCGACGCUAUAUCAAGCCACAGGAGCCGCAUGCUUGCCGGUGGAGCGAAAUCGUGGACUGAGGCACCCGAUCCGGCAACCAGUUGUCCAAAACUACCGAACGAACACGCCGGCUGUCCUUUUUCCAACGGACGAGUUCCGGCGCGCGCGUGUUUCUUUAUGAAAUUCGUCUCGACGGCGAAUUUAACGCGCGAGAUUAUUAAUUUGAUCGCGAACAAAUGCUUCGUGAACCGAACCGGCCGGAAUGGAGCGUACAGGGAGCGACGAUUGAUUCCUUGGAAGCCGCGCUCCUGACGUCCGGAUUCCGUGUAACACGAGCCAAUUUAUUCUCUCGUAGGAUCUGAUUUUUUACCUUGUCAUCUUCCAUGUAUGGACGCGGCAAUUUCCUAGCGGUUCUAAUAGUUUUCGGAAUUUACGGGGAUCACGUGGCGAUCAUUACAUCCGUAGACAAUGCUCGGCGAUGUUAUACAUUUUUCUGUAGUUUUCUUUGUAUUUCUCUGGCGGUGCGCUGCGAUUACGUGACACAGAGGAACAAUAUAUUUUAACUGCUUAACGAUGCGAAUCCUUUUUUAUGUAAUUCACAGGUCGAGCUAGUACGACUGAAAUGUUCGGCGAUUUAGAUUGUUGUUGUGUAAAAUGUGGACGAUUACUUUGAAAAGAUUACGUUCGAAUAUAGUAAAUGUUGAACUAUCUCUCUCUCUCUCUCUUCUUCGCUUUUAGCUAAAUUGCCUGAUUAUAUAUAUAUAUAAAGAGAUAAAUAUAUAUCUUAUAUACAUAUGCUUAAGUAAGAAAAAUGCUUAUUAGUAAACAAAUGGCUUGCGGAUUGUUAUGCAUGACAUAGAAGCUUUUUGCCUCUUUGAUUGCAAGAUGCGGGAAGUAGAUAAACCUUUAUCUCUUUUUUUUUAAUGAUUUUAACAAGCCAAAGUUGAUACAACAACGUCUUGAAAUUCUUCAAGUGUUUUUCACACAGUGUUUAAUUUCAUUUGCUCGUUCUUCUAUCAAAUCACGAUUGCUAAAUAUUUUGGGAAUCGUUGAUCAGAUACUAGAAAAAAUAACUUGAGUGUAUAAUAAAUUUUCUUUUUUUGAAUUUGCUUUUGCAUGUACAUUUCUAUACACACGUACGUAUAAUAUUUAGAUCGAUACGUGACUUAUGUUUGCUGUUCAAAGUGUACUCGAUAUUUAUUGAUUCUGCAUGAAUUAUCGAUAAAGUUAGGCGUGGUACUAAUAGCCGCUGGUUUUUAUCAACUUUUUAACGCACCGAUUACUCAUCGUCGCUUCUACGCCACCAAUAGAAUAUUAAAUAACAUUGUCGCCGAGGAAUUGAGAUUUUAAAUGAAUCUGAAACGUGCGUUCUUCUUACGUUCGUUUCUUUGUCGGAGAAUUCAAGGUUAACUAAUAACUAUGUCGUGGCGACGAUCAAUCGAGGCAAUUUAAUGAAAUAUAAGCGCAAUUUAUUAGUGUAAAUAAAGGUAUUAUGUCUACGGCGUAAUCUUCGCCUCCA